UACGUAGGGUGCGAGCGUUGUCCGGAAUUAUUGGGCGUAAAGGGCUCGUAGGCGGUUUGUUGCGUCGGGAGUGAAAACUCAGGGCUUAACCCUGAGCCUGCUUCCGAUACGGGCAGACUAGAGGUAUGCAGGGGAGAACGGAAUUCCUGGUGUAGCGGUGAAAUGCGCAGAUAUCAGGAGGAACACCGGUGGCGAAGGCGGUUCUCUGGGCAUUACCUGACGCUGAGGAGCGAAAAUGUGGGGAGCGAACAGG
rnacentral:rRNA from 1 species